GAUGAACGCUAGCGAUAGGCUUAACACAUGCAAGUCGAGGGGCAGCACAAGGUAGCUUGCUAUCUGGGUGGCGACCGGCGCACGGGUGCGUAACGCGUAUCCAACUUGCCCUAUACAGGAGGAUAACCCGUCGAAAGACGGACUAAUACUGCGUAUGCUCACUACUUGGCAUCAAGUGGUGAGGAAAGAAAUUCGGUAUAGGAUAGGCAUGCGUCCCAUUAGCUUGUUGGUGAGGUAACGGCUCACCAAGGCAACGGUGGGUAGGGGAACGGAGGGGUGCAUCCCCGACAGGGGGACAGGGACACGGAACAGAGUCAUACGGGAGGAAGCAGUGAGGAAGAUAGGUAAAUGGGCGAGAGCCUGAUCCAGCCAAGUCGCGUGAAGGAUGACUGUCUUAUGGAUUGUAAACUUCUUUUAGACAGGAAUAUCAAGAGUCACGUGUGACUCACUGCAUGUACCGUAUGAAUAAGCAUCGGCUAACUCCGUG
rnacentral:rRNA from 1 species